rnacentral:lncRNA from 1 species
UUGUUGCUCUACUUAGCUAUUCUGCAUACCCUGUUUCAUAUUUAUAGUAGAGCGAUUCUGUGAUUAUCUGUGAGAUUAGCGAUCUAGUCGGUCGAUUCUAAUAUUCAGUAUUUGUGACAUGAUUGGUCAAGUUUCAUAUCCUGUACUUGUGACAUGAUUGGUCGAGUUUCAUAUCCCGUACUUGUGACAUGAUUGGUCGAGUUUCAUAUCCCGUACUUGUGACAUGAUUGGUCGAGUUUCAUACCCUAUACUUGUGACCUGGUUGGUCGAUUUGAUUACUUGAUGACCCAUGCGGUCGAUGGGCCCUGGGGGGCAGGAUUGUCGGCUGGUUGCCGACGGUUGAUCAUUGAGCAUAUUGCAUUGAUUGCCCGAUACUCGUCGCAUUUCACGAACACUGGCGGUCUGAUCCACCGCAAGGAGUGUUCUUUUCCGGAAAAGUGGUUGAAUGGUGACAACCCGUGAGCCCUAUAGAGGUUAUAUGCAUAUUAGAGCGGCAGUGGUACUGUCGGGAGGUGUUGCGGUGCGGACCUCCAGGGCAUUGGCUUGAGGUCUGCGGUGCUGACCAAGAGAGCAUUGGUUUCAGAUUGGGUACUUUUGGACUGAUUGUUCCAUUGACGCAUAUGUUUAUAGUAGCAGUCGUUGCAUGCAUACUUACAGAUCUUACUUUAUAAUUGUCUUGCUACUAUAAUAGAUAUUCAUGUAUGCUUUCUGUUCCAGUUACAGUAGUGGUAGCCAUUAUUCAGUCUAGCUCCUGCUCUCUUUCAGUUUAUUGCUACUGUAUCUAGUAUAUCUGCUCAUUACCUUAUACAUCUCUUACGUUUACUACUGUUCCUACUACAUUUUCACUGACCCUUGUUGUUACUUAGCUCUCCCUGAUCCGGUGAGUACUCCUCGCCUUCAUCGGCUUGCGGUACCCACUGGGAGGGGAGACAUGUUUUACAUGUUCUCACCUCCCCCACCAUUUUUUUCAG